rnacentral:piRNA from 1 species
UUGUAGUGCUAGUACUGGGGAAGG